GAGGGUAUAGCUUAAGUGGUAGAGCGCACGCUUAGCAUGCACAAGGUCCUGGGUUCAAUCCCCAGUACCUCCU
rnacentral:tRNA from 1 species